rnacentral:sRNA from 1 species
GCAAGGCAUGGUGAUGCAUGUCUGUAAUCCCAGCAGCUCAGGAGGCUGAGGCAGGAGGAUCUCAGCAAUAGCAAGACACUAUGCAACUCAGUGAGACCCUGUCUCUA